CCUACGGGAGGCAGCAGUGAGGAAUAUUGGUCAAUGGCCGGAAGGCUGAACCAGCCAUGCCGCGUGAAGGUCAGUGCCCUAUGGGCGUUAAACUUCUUUUGUGCGGGAGCAAUAAUGGUCACGUGUGGCCAGACGAGAGUACCGUACGAAUAAGCAUCGGCUAACUCCGUGCCAGCAGCCGCGGUAAUACGGGGGAUGCAAGCGUUAUCCGGAUUUAUUGGGUUUAAAGGGUGCGUAGGCUGGGAGGUAAGUGAGCGGUGAAAUGCCCCCGCUCAACAGGGUGAAGUGCCAUUGAUACUGCCUUGCUUGAAUGCGGAUGCGGUAGGAGGAAUGUGUGGUGUAGCGGUGAAAUGCAUAGAUAUCACACAGAACACCGAUUGCGAAGGCAUCUCACGGAUCCGCGAUUGACGCUGAUGCACGAAAGCGUGGGUAUCAAACAGGAUUAGAUACCCCUGUAGUC
rnacentral:rRNA from 1 species